AUUGAACGCUGGCGGCAGGCCUAACACAUGCAAGUCGAGCGAGCGGCGGACGGGUGAGUAAUGUCUGGGAAACUGCCUGAUGGAGGGGGAUAACUACUGGAAACGGUAGCUAAUACCGCAUACCAUCAGAUGUGCCCAGAUGGGAUUAGCUAGUAGGUGGGGUAACGGCUCACCUAGGCGACGAUCCCUAGCUGGUCUGAGAGGAUGACCAGCCACACUGGAACUGAGACAAGGUCCAGACUACUACGGGAGGCAGCAGGGGGGAAUAUUGCACAAUGGGCGCAAGGCUGAUGCAGCCAGGCCGCGUGGGUGAAGAAGGCCUUAGGGGUGUAAAGCACUUUCAGCGGGGAGGCGUUACCCGCAGAAGAAGCACCGGCUAACUCCGUGCCAGCAGCCGCGGUAAUAC
rnacentral:rRNA from 1 species